GACAGAGGCCCCAAGCCGUUAGGCGGAAUCACUGGGCUUAAAGCGUGUGUAGGCGGACGCCUAAGUGUCUUGUGAAAUCCCACGGCUCACCCGUGGAACUGCUGGGCAUACUGGGCGUCUUGGGCCAACUAGGGGCAGCCGGAACAAGCGGUGGAGCGGUGAAAUGCGUAGAUAUCGCUUGGAACGCCGAAGGUGAAAACAGGCUGCUGGGGUUGUGCCGACGCUGAGACACGAAAGCCAGGGGAGCAAACGGG
rnacentral:rRNA from 1 species